rnacentral:rRNA from 1 species
CAAUAGCGUAUAUUAAAGUUGUUGCAGUUAAAAGCUCGUAGUUGGAUUUGUGGUGUGUCCAGUUGGCCUUUGCUCUUUGAGUGAUAGUGCUUUACUGGUCUGCCAUGUUUGGGUGGAAUCUGUGUGGCAUUAAGUUGUCGUGCAGGGGAUGCCCAUCGUUUACUGUGAAAAAUUAGAGUGUUUCAGGCAGGCUAGGCCGGAAUACAUUAGCAUGGAAUAAUAGAAUAGGACUAUGGUCUCUUUGUUGGUUUGAGGGACUAUGGUAAUGAUUAAUAGGGAUAGUUGGGGGCAUUAGUAUUUAAUUGUCAGAGGUGGAAUUCUCAGAUUUGUUAAAGACUAACUUAUGCGAAAGCAUUUGCCAAGGAUGUUUUCAUUAAUCAAGAACGAAAGUUAGGGGAUCAAAGACGAUCAGAUACC